rnacentral:rRNA from 1 species
AACGAACGCUGGCGGCGCGCCUAACACAUGCAAGUCGAACGGGCAGUUAUCUUCGGGUGACUGUCAGUGGCGGACGGGUGAGUAACGCGUGGGAACCUGCCCAAGGGUUCGGGAUAACCGUGGGAAACCAUGGCUAAGACCGGAUACGGCCGAGAGGCGAAAGAUUUAUCGCCCUUGGAGGGGCCCGCGUCGGAUUAGCUAGACGGUGGGGUAACGGCCUACCGUGGCUACGAUCCGUAACUGGUCUGAGAGGAUGGCCAGUCACACUGGGACUGAGACACGGCCCAGACUCCUACGGGAGGCAGCAGUGGGGAAUCUUGGACAAUGGGGGCAACCCUGAUCCAGCGACGCCGCGUGGGUGACGAAGGCCUUCGGGUUGUAAAGCCCUUUUGCCGGGGACGAUGAUGACGGUACCCGGAGAAUAAGCACCGGCUAACUCCGUGCCAGCCGCCGC